GACGAACCGUGCGAACGUUAUUCGGAAUCACUGGGCUUAAAGCGCGUGUAGGCGGGAGGGCACGUCCGUUGCGUGAAAUCCCCCGGCUCAACCGGGGAACGGGCGCGGAUACGACUCUCUGAGGGGCGUAGGGGGACCUGGAACUUCCGGUGGAGCGGUGAAAUGCGUUGAGAUCGGAAGGAACGCCCGUGGCGAAAGCGAGGUCCUGGACGCCUACUGACGCUGAGACGCGAAAGCCAGGGGAGCGAACGGG
rnacentral:rRNA from 1 species